rnacentral:rRNA from 1 species
UUUCCUACGGGAGGCAGCAGUGGGGAAUCUUGCGCAAUGGGCGAAAGCCUGACGCAGCAACGCCGCGUGGGGGACGAAGGCUCUCGGGUUGUAAACCCCUUUCAGGAGGGACGAAAUUGACGGUACCUCCAGAAGAAGCCCCGGCCAACUACGUGCCAGCAGCCGCGGUAACACGUAGGGGGCGAGCGUUGUCCGGAUUUAUUGGGCGUAAAGAGCUCGUAGGUGGCUCGGUAAGUCGGGUGUGAAAUUUCGAGGCUCAACCCCGAGACGCCACCUGAGACUGCGGUGGCUAGAGUCCGGUAGGGGAGCGUGGAAUUCCUGGUGUAGCGGUGAAAUGCGCAGAUAUCAGGAGGAACACCAGCGGCGAAGGCGGCGCUCUGGGCCGGUACUGACACUGAGGAGCGAAAGCGUGGGGAUCAAACAGGAUUAGAUACCCCAGUAGUCAU